CAGACAAUUUGACUUUCAACAAGUCUAUAUAUAUUGGAAAUGUCAGAAGAGAAGAUGCUGGGAAAUAUACCUGCUGGAUGAGUAGCUGUGUCGGACACAGUAUUAAGCGAGUCACUAUCAAUUUGUGUGUAGUUACAGUAUAUGACAGUAAGGAUUCAUCUGCAUCUUGCGAUGUGACGUGCGGCAUGAAAUCAAAUAAUCCAAACAGAACUUCAACCACAUCUGUGCCUGUACAUCCACACGGGUCCCUUAAGUGCAAUAUAGAUUCAGUGUUUGAUGGAUACACUACAGUUGCUACCACUCACACAUCAUCAUUUAGCACAAGAACAGGUUUUCAAAAAGAGCCUGAAGACUGGAUCCCACUUAUUUGUGGUAUAUCAGUAUCAUGUGUCAUUUUAAUGGCACUUACAAUUUUUUGCUUCAAAUCAAGAUUACAUUCAGCAUUUCCUGUUCAAAUUUGUUGCUGUGGCUUGAAUAGCAGGGUGGAAGAAGAGUCUUCAGUGAUUUAUUCAUCAAUUAUCAUCAGGACACCGGGCAAAAGAAUUAAUCACAUGACCUCUAGUGAUUGUGUUUAUUGUGAAAUAAAAGUAUAGAGAAAAAAGUCCAGGAUAAGUGCAGUCACUUUUAUUUAUAUAGCACAUUUUAAAACAAUAUGGAUUGGUCCAAAGUGCUUUUCAGUUGACUGUUAAAAUAGGUAAGGUCAUUAAAGGGCACUGGUUAGAAUUAUACUUUCCAUCCUUGCUGUCAUUUGAUUUAGUAACUGAUUCCUCAAAUUACUUAAAUUGUAACUUCACCCACACGCUUGUCAAGGGGAAAAUCUGAAACCAUGAGUCUUUUUUUCCAACAAAGGAAUGAUUUCUAAUCGAAUCUUUAACUUAACUUUUACCUAAUUCUCUGAAGGCAGGGCGGGUGUUCUAAAGUACAUGGAUCGAGAUAAUUUUAAUGAGAAGCUUUCAGUGCGAUACAGAUGUUAUGUAACAACAUUUUUUUGUUGUUGCUCAGUACAGAGGUGAGGUCCAUUCAUGAACUGCAUGAAAGCACAGUUUCUGAUUACCUUGCAGAUCAAGUUAAGAUAAAACAAAUGUAGGUAAAGAAGUUCUUUAAAGUUGACAUCAAAAUGUUACGGCAAUUAAAUGCUGCUUUCACAAAGAGGAACAUUAUUAGGUACAUUAAUUUACUGGAGCUCAUCAAUUGAAACAAAUUUAUAAACAAUUUUUUUUGUUGUUAAAAGAAAAAAAAUACUUUUUACGCUAAAUUUAUUUUACAGCUGUAUUUUGUCUUGCAGUUUUAGGUUUUACAUAAUCACCAUAUAAAAUAUGACCACAGUAAAAAAGCAUCUAAGCAAAAGGUUGCAUAAAGAAGGCUGUUAAAAGUGUUAAAACCACAGCAGUACUGCGUCUGCAGUGUUAAUCAAUAAUGAGCAUCAGUGAUAGUAAAACAAUAACACCCUGCAGACAAAAGGUUGUUGUACGAUUAUUACUGUGAGCAAUAUGUGUGUUCAUACUGUGAGGACAUUCUGCUGAGGAUAGUCACUGAAAAUAAUAUUUUGGAUUCUUUUAUUUGUUAAAGUGUUUUAUGCAAAGUAAAGUAUACAAAAAAGUGAAAACAAUAGAAAAAUAGUCUUAAGAAAUAAACCAAAACUCACUAAAUGUGUUUUUUAAAAAAGCAACAGACAUUAAAGAAAAUAAAGGAAAUGUUUUAACUUUUGGUGUUUAGUCAAAGAUGGAAACAAAGAGGAGGCUGUGGUGAAAAUGACUGAGUCAAAUGUGUUGUACUGUACUGUUUUACUUAUAUUUGACCUAUGUCACUAAUACCACCCACAUCAUAAAAACAAAAACUCAGACACAGAAACUAAUAAAAUGUAAACUUAACAUUUAACAAUUAAAAACCAAACUGAAAUCAGAAAAUCCACCCUGAAAACUAAAAUAACAUCAAAUUCAAAGGUGGAAAAUCCUAAACUAAAAUAACAAUGGCAGUGUUAAUAGCAGUCAUCUCCGCAUAGCCUAAAUUGAAAACAAUUUGAGUACCUCACCCACUUUUUUUAUACACAACACCAACCCACAGAGUCAGACAGGACAUGACACACAGGACAAACCACUACAUCACGAUCUGUCAUUGGUGGCGGUGUGCACAGCUCUAAUGAAAACAAACCCAAAUAAGGCAGCUGGCCCAAAUAAUAUCCCCAGGCAUGCACUCAGGGUCUGCUCAUAAAAGCUGGAUGGUGUAUUCAUAGACAUAUACAAUCUGCCCAUCCUUUAAGUCCAUCACCAGUGUGCCCCUCUCUAAGAAACAUACUGGUAGUGGAUUUAAACGACUAUCAUCCUUUUGGACUCACACCAAUCAUGAUGAAGUAUUUAGAAAGGAUCAAAAAGACUGUCCUGGCUACCAUGGACUCUUUACUUUAUGCAUGUGCGUGUAACACCACAGUGCAUCAGUCUACUAGUGAGUCACCAUUUGCUCUGAUGUUUGGCUGAGAUCGCCAGCUACCUGUUGAGUUUUUGUUGGGUAGGAUUCAGGAGCCUGUGGUUGGUAGCACCCAUCAUUGGAUUGCAGAGCAUCAGACUCGGCUAUGUCAUGCUUUUGAACAUGCUAAUAAACGCUUGGAGGCUGCAGCUAUUUGGCGUAUGACAUGUCACAACCAGCAUGUGAGGGAUGCUCCCCUGCAAGAAGGUCAGUUGACUUACCUUAAGGAGGUUGGGCUUAGAGGCCGUCAUAAAAUUUAGGAUGUUUGGAGUUCAGUGGUGUAUCAAGUGCUACAGGCCCCAGACCAAAAUGGAUCAGUUUACACUGUUACUCUGUCGGAUAACCUUAGUCACGUGAAACAUGUCCACCGUUCACUACUAAAGAAUAAGGUGGAGUAUGUGACUACUUGUCCUCCCAGUACUCCAAUCCAACUAUUAGAAACUAUGCAAGGUGGUGAGUGGUUUUUAUUGGUUUAUGAACCUACUCCAGCCCCAAGCAAUUGCCAACAAAGACAGGAGACCCCUACCUCCUGCAUACCAAGUGAGCCAAAACCCUCAACGUCCUCUGUGGUGCUGGUCUGCACCGAUCAGCUGCCAGUUACGGCUGGUGUUCAAAAUAAUAUUGCUUCUUCACAUAGGACUACUUGUGCUAAUGCUGGGACGCACUCGAAUCGGCAUCAUCUGCCCCAGGCAAUAGGAAGUAGAACAACAGGGGCUGUGAACUCCCAGGCACCUGUGCCUAAUACAUCUACCCUGUUUAG